rnacentral:rRNA from 1 species
UACGGAGGGGGCUAGCGUUGUUCGGAAUUACUGGGCGUAAAGCGCACGUAGGCGGCUUUCUAAGUCAGGGGUGAAAUCCUGGAGCUCAACUCCAGAACUGCCUUUGAUACUGGGAAGCUCGAGUCCGGAAGAGGUGAGUGGAACUCCGAGUGUAGAGGUGAAAUUCGUAGAUAUUCGGAAGAACACCAGUGGCGAAGGCGGCUCACUGGUCCGGUACUGACGCUGAGGUGCGAAAGCGUGGGGAGCAAACAGG